rnacentral:rRNA from 1 species
GAUGAACGCUGGCGGCGUGCCUAAUACAUGCAAGUCGAGCGAACGGACGAGAAGCUUGCUUUUCUGAUGUUAGCGGCGGACGGGUGAGUAACACGUGGAUAACCUACCUAUAAGACUGGGAUAACUUCGGGAAACCGGAGCUAAUACCGGAUAAUAUUUUGAACCGCAUGGUUCAAAAGUGAAAGACGGUCUUGCUGUCACUUAUAGAUGGAUCCGCGCUGCAUUAGCUAGUUGGUAAGGUAACGGCUUACCAAGGGAACGAUGCAUAGCCGACCUGAGAGGGUGAUCGGCCACACUGGAACUGAGACACGGUCCAGACUCCUACGGGAGGCAGCAGUAGGGAAUCUUCCGCAAUGGGCGAAAGCCUGACGGAGCAACGCCGCGUGAGUGAUGAAGGUCUUCGGAUCGUAAAACUCUGUUAUUAGGGAAGAACAUAUGUGUAAGUAACUGUGCACAUCUUGACGGUACCUAAUCAGAAAGCCACGGCUAACUACGUG